GAGUUUGCUUAUGGCUCACAACGAACGCUGGCGGCAGGCUUAACACAUGCAAGUCGAGCGCACUCUUCGGAGUGAGCGGCGGCCGGGUUAGUAACGCGUGGGAACGUGCCCUUCUCUAAGGAAUAGCCUCUGGAAACGGAGAGUAAUACCUUAUACGCCCUUUGGGGGAAAGAUUUAUCGGAGAAGGAUCGGCCCGCGUUAGAUUAGAUAGUUGGUGGGGUAAUGGCCUACCAAGUCUACGAUCUAUAGCUGGUUUGAGAGGAUGAUCAGCAACACUGGGACUGAGACACGGCCCAGACUUCUUUUUUAGGCAGCAGUGGGGAAUCUUGGACAAUGGGCGCAAGCCUGAUCCAGCCAUGGCCGCGUGAGUGAUGAAGGCCUUAGGGUCGUAAAGCUCUUUCGCCAGGGAUGAUAAUGACAGUACCUGGUAAAGAAACCCCGGCUAACUCCGUGCCAGCAGCCGCGGUAAUACGGAGGGGGUUAGCGUUGUUCGGAAUUACUGGGCGUAAAGCGCACGUAGGCGGACUAAUCAGUCAGAGGUGAAAUCCCAGGGCUCAACCCUGGAACUGCCUUUGAUACUGUUAGUCUAGAGUUCGAGAGAGGUGAGUGGAAUUCCGAGUGUAGAGGUGAAAUUCGUAGAUAUUCGGAGGAACACCAGUGGCGAAGGCGGCUCACUGGCUCGAUACUGACGCUGAGGUGCGAAAGUGUGGGGAGCAAACAGGAUUAGAUACCCAGGUGGUCCACACCGUAAACGAUGAAUGCCAGUCGUCGGGUAGUAUACUAUUCGGUGACACACCUAACGGAUUAAGCAUUCCGCCUGGGG
rnacentral:rRNA from 1 species